AACGAACGCUGGCGGCAUGCCUAACACAUGCAAGUCGAACGAGACCUUCGGGUCUAGUGGCGCACGGGUGCGUAACGCGUGGGAACCUGCCCUUAGGUUCGGAAUAACUCCCCGAAAGGGGUGCUAAUACCGGAUAAUUUCUCGGAACCAAAGAUUUAUCGCCUUUGGAUGGGCCCGCGUUGGCUUGGCUAGUUGGUAGGGUAAAAGCCUACCAAGGCGACGAUCCAUAGCUGGUCUGAGAGGAUGAUCAGCCACACUGGGACUGAGACACGGCCCAGACUCCUACGGGAGGCAGCAGUGGGGAAUAUUGGACAAUGGGCGAAAGCCUGAUCCAGCAAUGCCGCGUGAGUGAUGAAGGCCUUAGGGUUGUAAAGCUCUUUUACCCGGGAUGAUAAUGACAGUACCGGGAGAAUAAGCUCCGGCUAACUCCGUG
rnacentral:rRNA from 1 species